GGAGGAGUGGCCGAGCGGUUGAAGGCACCGGUCUCGAAAACCGGCAUCCGUCUAGAGCGGAUCGUGGGUUCGAAUCCCACCUCCUCCGCCA
rnacentral:tRNA from 1 species